GUCAAAAGCUCAGGAUCAUGCCGCGGAGAUGGUAAAUCUGGGAGCUCAUAUUUUUUCAACUUUUGAAGUAGCAAAGCCACUUUUUUCUUUGCUCUUCUGAGAUUAUAAAUUAAUCGUUCUUCAUCAGUCAUGAGUUUCAACUUUAACUUCUUUGACCUUCGAAUCUCUCUAAGGGUUUUGCUGGACUCAUUUUGCAUUCUGGCUGCCACUCUGCUCCUCAUGCUUUUCCCUGACAUCCACCGUACUCCAACAUUGCAAAUAGGAACUUUUACAUAUUUGACCGGAGAACUCAUCAUAUUCCCACGGCUAGACAUUAUAUUCACCGAAUCGUAUCUCCUCAUAGACUCAUGCUGCAAGGAAGAUUGAGAAAAUAGAGAUGUUAGGGUUCUGAUAGAGCGCCGUUGAGUAUAUCUGCAAACGAACAUGACGACGGCAAUGGAGAACUCAGUCACUGAGUGGUGGAUAUCCGCCUUCUCAGAGUUUAUCAAAAUUUUCCGGAGAAGGAGUAAUCUUUGGAUUUUGGGAUACUGAGUGCGGGGAUUUGGUCGGCGUGGUGGUGUUCACCGG
rnacentral:misc_RNA from 1 species